UAGGGAAUCUUCGGCAAUGGACGAAAGUCUGACCGAGCAACGCCGCGUGAGUGAAGAAGGUUUUCGGAUCGUAAAACUCUGUUGUUAGAGAAGAACAAGGACGUUAGUAACUGAACGUCCCCUGACGGUAUCUAACCAGAAAGCCACGGCUAACUACGUGCCAGCAGCCGCGGUAAUACGUAGGUGGCAAGCGUUGUCCGGAUUUAUUGGGCGUAAAGCGAGCGCAGGCGGUUUCUUAAGUCUGAUGUGAAAGCCCCCGGCUCAACCGGGGAGGGUCAUUGGAAACUGGGAGACUUGAGUGCAGAAGAGGAGAGUGGAAUUCCAGGUGUGGCGGUGAAAUGCGUAGAUAUAUGGAGGAACACCAGUGGCGAAGGCGGCUCUCUGGUCUGUAACUGACGCUGAGGCUCGAAAGCGUGGGGAGCAAACAGG
rnacentral:rRNA from 1 species